rfam:Thauera terpenica 58Eu Cont11, whole genome shotgun sequence.
UAUCGUCCGCUUCGCAGUCGAUUCAAGCAGUGGUUGUUCUGGUGGUUACCCAGCGUGUUCUACGAGAACGCGUGCCGGUCUGAUUCCUCUGGAUUACGUUUCUUGAUCGUUCCUGCACUUUGGGGCGCGAGCCCAAUCAUUUUUUAUACGGAACGCAAAUGAGCACUCAAACCGGUACCGUCAAGUGGUUCAACGACGCCAAGGGCUUCGGCUUCAUCACCCCGGAAAACGGUGGUGACGACCUGUUCGCCCACUUCUCUGAAGUUCAGAGCAAGGGCUUCAAGAGCCUGGCCGAAAACCAGCGCGUCGAAUUCGAAGUCAAGACCGGCCCGAAGGGCCUGCAGGCGGCGAACAUCCGCCCGCUGUAAUCGAUACGACGUCACCGACGUCCUUCGAUUGAUCCAGAACGCGGCCUUGCGCCGCGUUUUUGCUU